rnacentral:rRNA from 1 species
GCAAGUCGAGGGGUAUCAAUUAGCUUGCUAAUUGAGAGACCGGCGCACGGGUGCGUAACGCGUAUGCAACCUGCCCUACACUGGGGGAUAGCCCGGAGAAAUCCGGAUUAAUACCGCAUAAUACUAUUGAAUCGCAUGGUUUAAUAUUUAAAGAUUUAUUGGUGUAGGAUGGGCAUGCGUCUGAUUAGCUAGUUGGUAAGGUAACGGCUUACCAAGGCAUCGAUCAGUAGCGGGUCUGAGAGGAUGAUC